UUGAGUCUCGUAGAGGGGGGUAGAAUUCCAGGUGUAGCGGUGAAAUGCGUAGAGAUCUGGAGGAAUACCGGUGGCGAAGGCGGCCCCCUGGACGAAGACUGACGCUCAGGUGCGAAAGCGUGGGGAGCAAACAGGAUUAGAUACCCUGGUAGUCCACGCCGUAAACGAUGUCGACUUGGAGGUUGUGCCCUUGAGGCGUGGCUUCCGGAGCUAACGCGUUAAGUCGACCGCCUGGGGAGUACGGCCGCAAGGUUAAAACUCAAAUGAAUUGACGGGGGCCCGCACAAGCGGUGGAGCAUGUGGUUUAAUUCGAUGCAACGCGAAGAACCUUACCUGGUCUUGACAUCCACGGAAGUUUUCAGAGAUGAGAAUGUGCCUUCGGGAACCGUGAGACAGGUGCUGCAUGGCUGUCGUCAGCUCGUGUUGUGAAAUGUUGGGUUAAGUCCCGCAACGAGCGCAACCCUUAUCCUUUGUUGCCAGCGGUCCGGCCGGGAACUCAAAGGAGACUGC
rnacentral:rRNA from 1 species